rnacentral:rRNA from 1 species
CAGUCGCCGCGGUAAUACAGAGGGUGCAAGCGUUAAUCGGAAUUACUGGGCGUAAAGCGCGCGUAGGUGGUUUGUUAAGUUGGAUGUGAAAGCCCCGGGCUCAACCUGGGAACUGCAUCCAAAACUGGCAAGCUAGAGUACGGUAGAGGGUGGUGGAAUUUCCUGUGUAGCGGUGAAAUGCGUAGAUAUAGGAAGGAACACCAGUGGCGAAGGCGACCACCUGGACUGAUACUGACACUGAGGUGCGAAAGCGUGGGGAGCAAACAGGAUUAGAUACCCCUGUAGUCCCGUCUCUUAUACA